UGGCUCUUUCAAUGACUGCUACACUCUAAAAAAAUGGUGCUGUAUAGCACUAAAAGCGGUUCUUUGGUUUGUAAUCAUAGGGGAGCCACUUUUAAUGCUAUU